UGCUCCUUAAUAUCGAGGUGCUGUCAUCUGCUCCUUAAUAUCGAGGUGCUUUCAUCUGCUCCUUAAUAUCGAGGUGCUUUCAUCUGCUCCUUAAUAUCGAGGUGCUUUCAUCUGCUCCUUAAUAUCGAGGUGCUGUCAUCUGCUCCUUAAUAUCGAGGUGCUUUCAUCUGCUCCUUAAUAUCGAGGUGCUUUCAUCUGCUCCUUAAUAUCGAGGUGCUGUCAUCUGCUCCUUAAUAUCGAGGUGCUGUCAUCUGCUCCUUAAUAUCGAGGUGCUUUCAUCUGCUCCUUAAUAUCGAGGUGCUUUCAUCUGCUCCUUAAUAUCGAGGUGCUGUCAUCUGCUCCUUAAUAUCGAGGUGCUUUCAUCUGCUCCUUAAUAUCGAGGUGCUGUCAUCUGCUCCUUAAUAUCGAGGUGCUUUCAUCUGCUCCUUAAUAUCGAGGUGCUUUCAUCUGCUCCUUAAUAUCGAGGUGCUUUCAUCUGCUCCUUAAUAUCGAGGUGCUGUCAUCUGCUCCUUAAUAUCGAGGUGCUGUCAUCUGCUCCUUAAUAUCGAGGUGCUUUCAUCUGCUCCUUAAGAUCACUCCUUCAAUAUCACUCCUUAAUAAUCACCAGAGGGGGCAACCUUCUAAUGAGCCGAUAGUAUGUAUGUUGCCUGCAUUUCCACGUUUCUAUGUUUCCUCCUCCUCCUCUUCCUCCUCUCCUUCCCAUCUCACCUUCCUUCUUCCUCUUCCUCCCCAUAUUUCUCAUACCAUACCUCCCUCCUCCUCAUCCUCCUCGUAGAAUUACACCUGC